AUUGAACGCUGGCGGCAUGCCUUACACACGCAAGUCGAACGGCAGCACGGGAGCAAUCCUGGUGGCGAGUGGCGAACGGGUGAGUAAUAUAUCGGAACGUGCCCGGUCGUGGGGGAUAACGUAGCGAAAGCUACGCUAAUACCGCAUACGAUCUACGGAUGAAAGCGGGGGAUCGCAAGACCUCGCGCGAUUGGAGCGGCCGAUAUCAGAUUAGGUAGUUGGUGAGGUAAAGGCUCACCAAGCCGACGAUCUGUAGCUGGUCUGAGAGGACGACCAGCCACACUGGGACUGAGACACGGCCCAGGACUCCUACGGGAGGCAGCAGUGGGGAAUUUUGGACAAUGGGCGCAAGCCUGAUCCAGCAAUGCCGCGUGCAGGAUGAAGGCCUUCGGGUUGUAAACUAGCUUUGUUACGGUACGAAACGGU
rnacentral:rRNA from 1 species